UGCUUUCAUAGCUCAGAUGGUUAGAGCACCCGUUUAGUAAGCGGGAGGUCUUGAGUUCGAAUCUCAAUGAAAGCAUUUUUUUAUGAUCUUUUUUUAAUCUCGGAGACGAUAAUUAUUUGUAAUAUUAUGGCUAGAAAUGUAAUCAUCUUGUAAGGCUAUUUUAGACACCAUAUGCAACCGCAUUGUUUGUAGUGCACCCUUAUCCAUUUCUUGAGGUGGAACCAUAAUUUGGUAAAAUAAAAAUGGAAUGUAGGGAAGUAAGUCAACUUGCUUUCAUAGCUCAGUUGGUUAGAGCACCCGUUUAGUAAGCGGGAGGUCUUGAGUUCGACUCUCAAUGAAAGCAC
rnacentral:tRNA from 1 species